UUACCUUCGGGUAAUGAGGAUGGCGGACGGGUGAGUAACGCGUAAGGAACUUGCCUCUUGGACUGGGACAACUGUUGGAAACGACAGCUAAUACCGGAUAUUAUGAGAUUCUCGCAUGAGAAACUUAUGAAAGCUAUAUGCGCCAAGAGAGAGCCUUGCGUUCCAUUAGCUAGUUGGUGGGGUAAUGGCCCACCAAGGCGACGAUGGAUAGCCGGCCUGAGAGGGUGAACGGCCACAAGGGGACUGAGACACGGCCCUUACUCCUACGGGAGGCAGCAGUGGGGAAUAUUGGACAAUGGGCCACAAGCCUGAUCCAGCAAUUCUGUGUGCACGAUGAAGGUCUUCGGAUUGUAAAGUGCUUUCAGUUGGGAAGAAGAAAGUGACGGUACCAACAGAAGAAGCGACGGCUAAAUACGUGCCAGCAGCCGCGGUAAUACGUAUGUCGCAAGCGUUAUCCGGAUUUAUUGGGCGUAAAGCGCGUCUAGGCGGAAAAAUAAGUCUGAUGUUAAAAUGCGGGGCUCAACUCCGUAUUGCGUUGGAAACUGUUUUUCUAGAGUACUGGAGAGGUGGGCGGAACUACAAGUGUAGAGGUGAAAUUCGUAGAUAUUUGUAGGAAUGCCGAUGGAGAAGUCAGCUCACUGGAUAGAUACUGACGCUGA
rnacentral:rRNA from 1 species